GAUGAACGCUAGCUACAGGCUUAACACAUGCAAGUCGCGGGGCAGCAUGGGGGUUGCUUGCACUCCCCGAUGGCGACCGGCGCACGGGUGAGUAACGCGUAUCCAACCUGCCCUUCACCACGGGAUAACCCGGCGAAAGUCGGACUAAUACCGUAUGUUGUCCAUUGACGGCAUCCGAUUUGGACGAAAGGCUUGGCGGUGAGGAUGGGGAUGCGUCCGAUUAGCCAGACGGCGGGGUAACGGCCCACCGUGGCUACGAUCGGUAGGGGUUCUGAGAGGAAGGUCCCCCACACUGGAACUGAGACACGGUCCAGACUCCUACGGGAGGCAGCAGUGAGGAAUAUUGGUCAAUGGGCGUAAGCCUGAACCAGCCAAGUAGCGUGCAGGAGGACGGCCCUAUGGGUUGUAAACUGCUUUUAUGCGGGGAUAAAGUGGCCCACGUGUGGGCUUUUGCAGGUACCGCAUGAAUAAGGACCGGCUAAUUCCGUG
rnacentral:rRNA from 1 species